UACGAAGGGGGCUAGCGUUGCUCGGAAUUACUGGGCGUAAAGCGUGCGCAGGCGGUUGUGCAAGACAGAUGUGAAAUCCCCGGGCUUAACCUGGGAAUUGCAUUUGUGACUGCACGGCUAGAGUGUGUCAGAGGGGGGUAGAAUUCCACGUGUAGCAGUGAAAUGCGUAGAUAUGUGGAGGAAUACCGAUGGCGAAGGCAGCCCCCUGGGAUAACACUGACGCCUCAUGCACGAAAGCGUGGGGAGCAAACAGGAUUGAGAAACCCCGGUAGG
rnacentral:rRNA from 1 species